UACAGAGGGUGCGAGCGUUAAUCGGAAUUACUGGGCGUAAAGCGUGCGUAGACGGUUAUUUAAGUCGGGUGUGAAAGCCCCGGGCUCAACCUGGGAAUUGCAUUCGAGACUGAAUAGCUAGGGUACGGUAGAGGGAAGUGGAAUUUCCGGUGUAGCGGUGAAAUGCGUAGAUAUCUGGAGGAACACCCGUGGUGCAGACGGCUUGCUGGACCGUGACUGACGCUGAGGCACGAAAGCGUGGGUAGCAAACAGG
rnacentral:rRNA from 1 species